CAAGGAAAGAAAGAAAAUGAAAAAAAGAAAGCAGAGAUGGGGCAAGCAGGGGAGAGGGUUGGUGCUGGGGUCACAGUGGAGGGGCUGGGGAUGCACGGGAGGGGCUGGGGAUGUGAGCUUUCCUGAGCUCCCACAGUUCUCUGCCCCUCUCCUGUCUCAUGGCGCAAGGGCCCCCUGGGGCUUGCGGUGGUUUUGCGCCAAGCUAAUAUCUUGUUCUUCCCAACAGACGGAGGCCCAUUGAGGCUUCUCUGUCCUCCACGGGGACCAGCAUUGGGCUAAACCUGCAGACACCAUUGCAAAGGGAAUUCAGGCAAACCCGGUGGUGAAGAAUGAUUCCAGCGCGAGGACAGAGGCUGACAUUUCUUGCCUGGUCUUGUUCCAGUGGUUCAUCGGUGACUUCUGUGGCUUCGUCAUCAUUUUCCAUGGAUGAUUCUGAAAGAAUC
rnacentral:lncRNA from 10 species